AUACUUACCUUAUUGGCGUGGCCGCGCUCAUGAAUGCGGUUCACGAUAGAUUUGACUGUCCAUUGCACAUCGGGCUAGACGAAUCUAUUCAGCAUCCUUCGGGGUUCUGACUGGUGUAUUUUUUGGCCUAC
rnacentral:snRNA from 18 species